GCCUGGCUGGCUCAGUCAGUGGAGCCUGCGACUCUUGAUCUCAGGGCUGUGAGUUCAAACCCCACACUAGGUG
rfam:Felis catus isolate Cinnamon breed Abyssinian chromosome D3, whole genome shotgun sequence.